AUUGAACGCUGGCGGCAUGCCUUACACAUGCAAGUCGAACGGUAACAGGUUAAGCUGACGAGUGGCGAACGGGUGAGUAAUGUAUCGGAACGUGCCCAGUCGUGGGGGAUAACUACUCGAAAGAGUGGCUAAUACCGCAUACGACCUGAGGGUGAAAGCGGGGGACCGUAAGGCCUCGCGCGAUUGGAGCGGCCGAUAUCAGAUUAGCUAGUUGGUGGGGUAAAAGCCCACCAAGGCGACGAUCUGUAGCUGGUCUGAGAGGACGACCAGCCACACUGGGAGUGAGACACGGCCCAGACUCCUACGGGAGGCAGCAGUGGAGAAUUUUGGACAAUGGACGCAAGUCUGAUCCAGCCAUGCCGCGUGCGGGAAGAAGGCCUUCGGGUUGUAAACCGCUUUUGUCAGGGAAGAGACGAGUUUCUCUAAUACAGAGACUUAAUGACGGUACCUGAAGAAUAAGCACCGGCUAACUACGUGCCAGCCGCCGCAGUAAGAC
rnacentral:rRNA from 1 species